GGUGAACGCUGGCGGUAGGCCUAACACAUGCAAGUCGAACGGCAGCACAGUAAGCGUUUGCUCUUACGGUUGGCGACUGGCGGGUGGGUGGCGCGUACAUCGCCAUCUUCUUUUUCUUGGGGGAUUUCGUGGGGCAACAUAUGCUACUACCGCAUACGUCGUACGGGUUGGUGCAGGAGUGAUUCGCAGUUUUCGUGUCUCUUUGAGACGAUGCCGCGUUGCAUUAUCUAGUUGGUAAGGUAAAGGCUUACCAAGGCAACGAUGCUUAGCCGACCUGAGAGGGUGAUCGGCCACACUGGAACUGAGACACGGUCCAGACUCCUACGGGAGGCAGCAGUGGGGAAUAUUCGACAAUGGGCGCAAGCCUGAUCCAGCAAUGCCGCGUGAGUGAAGAAGGUCUUCGGGUCGUAAAACCCUGUUAUUAGGGAAGAAAAGCAGCGGAUGUAACCCCGCCUGUUCUGACGGUACCCAAUGAGUAAGCACCGGCUAACUACGUG
rnacentral:rRNA from 1 species